AUACUGCAUUCCCUUUUUCUCUUUUUAACCACUCGGGCAUGUCGGCGAGAAUUACGUUCUAGGACAGAGGAUAAAGUGCGUACCUUUCUGUUAGCGUAAUUCUAGCAGAAUUCUGGCAGGAUUUUAGUGGUGUUUAAAAAGCAAAAGCAUGAAUAAUAAUAUUAAACCUAAGUUUUUGUUUCUAUUUGGUAUUUUCUGCACAACAUUAUGUAUAAAUGCUGAAACCAAAACCGAGGAAAUCUUGUCAUGGAACGAUUCUAAAAAGAAUGUAACAGGUUCAAACAAUUUUCAUAUAUCUCCCAACAAAAAUCCAAUUUAUUUGCUGUUUGGUUCCAUACAUAAGACACCUCCAAAGUUUCUAAAGCAUUUGCAGUGCCUGUUCCUUCCCAAAAGCAAUGAUGUUUGGUUGUCUCCACAUAAAAGUAUCAUCAAAAACUGGAGAUUUUGAUUUUGGUUUAAGUUCCAGCAGAGAAUCGGUUGAUUCGUCAUGGUUUACAUGGAUAAUGUCAAUUGGACAAAUAUUCAAAACGAAAGUUUCUUCAAGUUCGGUGACUAAAGAGAAUUGUGUUUCCCCGUAUAAUGCAAUAUUUCUUACAAUUAAAACUAAUGAACAAAAUCAGACGUUUGAUGUGGAAACUCACUUAAAGUGUAAGAAAUUGAAUUUCUGUUUGAUAUGUUUUUAUAAUUGUCUGUGUAUACUAUUAGGUGCAUACAUCCGUAUAAUUUUAUAUUACCUUUGCACCUAAAAAAAUUGUUGCAAAAAAAUCAGUUGCAAAUACAGUCAACACCGCUAAAUCGGACCACAUUUUGCGGGGCGAACAAAGUUCAUGAUAAUCCGACCCCUACGUCGCCCUUUCUCUCUAAAUAGUGCACACAUCUGCUCGUGAAUGUCUAAGGAUACUGCGUAAGGCAAAAGGAUGCGAUGCCACGCGUUUGUGUUUCUAUUGUACGAUGUCAAACAUAAACUCUGCAGCCAAACGCGUGU